UACGUAGGGGGCCAGCGUUGUCCGGAUUCAUUGGGCGUAAAGCGCGUGUAGGCGGCCAGGUAGGUCCGAUGUGAAAUCUGGAGGCUCAACCUCCAGCGGUCAUUGGAAACCAUCUGGCUAGAGUCCGGAAGAGGAGAGUGGAAUUCCUGGUGUAGCGGUGAAAUGCGCAGAUAUCAGGAAGAACACCAAUGGCGAAGGCAGAUCUCU
rnacentral:rRNA from 1 species